GGCCAGUCUGUGCGGAGGAGGAGUUCUAGGCAAGAAAGGAGGGUGCCUGGAGCGGGCGGUCUGAAGGAGCCCUCUCUGCUGUCCUUAGCUGAUCCAGCAGCCAGUGCUGCUGUCCUCUUGUCACAGCUGCCCCUGGGUGGGGGAGGGCAGCUUCCGUGGAUUCCUGUGAAGGAAGCUACUCACUUGUGGUGACAGAACAACAUCUGAAGAAGGAUGAAGGCUGUGUCUGCUCUGGCAGGCGAAGGAAAAGAAGAGUCACCGACCACUUUUCGCUCUUGCUGAGCAUGUUACCACGGCAACAGGUUCGGAAACUCACGGCCCAUUCACCAUCAGAUGAACAAGCACUCCGUCUCGUUUGGGUGUUGCAGUGGUUCUCUAAACGGCUCUCCCUUUCUGCCAUCUGCAGUCUGACUCCUUCACAUCAGGAGGAAAGGAAACUGAAGUUACCAGAAGAAAUGACUGCCGUGGAGAUUAGUGACACAAGACUUCUUGGAGCGAAUUCAGCCACCCGUGGUGCUUCUUGAAUCAAAGGGAAAGGAGAGAAUGAAAAUGGUAAUCGUAGAUGAAGCACAGUCUAGAAUUGCAGCUGUAAGUCCUCGCCUGAAAUCACUUGUUCUUCAGUUUACUUGCUAUGUGAUCUCAAAGCUGCCCU
rnacentral:lncRNA from 1 species